UACGGAGGGUGCAAGCGUUGUCCGGAUUUAUUGGGUUUAAAGGGUGCGUAGGCGGCGUAGUAAGUCCGUGGUGAAAGCCAACAGCUCAACUGUUGAACUGCCAUGGAUACUGCUAGGCUUGAGUACAGACGAGGUAGGCGGAAUGGAUAGUGUAGCGGUGAAAUGCAUAGAUACUAUCCAGAACACCGAUUGCGAAGGCAGCUUACUAGACUGUAACUGACGCUGAGGCACGAAAGCGUGGGGAGCGAACAGG
rnacentral:rRNA from 2 species